rnacentral:rRNA from 1 species
GCAUAUCAAUAAGCGGAGGAAAAGAAACCAACCGGGAUUGCCCCCAGUAACGGCGAGUGAAGCGGCAAGAGCUCAAAUUUGAAAUCUGGCCCCUCCGGGGUCCGAGUUGUAAUUUGCAGAGGAUGCUUCGGGUGCGGCCCCUGUCUAAGUGCCCUGGAACGGGCCGUCAGAGAGGGUGAGAAUCCCGUCUUGGGCAGGGUGCCCGUGCCCGUGUGAAGCUCCUUCGACGAGUCGAGUUGUUUGGGAAUGCAGCUCUAAAUGGGUGGUAAAUUUCAUCUAAAGCUAAAUACCGGCCGGAGACCGAUAGCGCACAAGUAGAGUGAUCGAAAGAUGAAAAGCACUUUGAAAAGAGAGUUAAACAGCACGUGAAAUUGUUGAAAGGGAAGCGCUUGCGACCAGACUCGGCCCUGGGGUUCAGCCAGCACUCGUGCUGGUGUACUUCCCCAGGGGCGGGCCAGCGUCGGUUUGGGCGGCCGGUCAAAGGCCCCAGGAAUGUAUCGCCCUCCGGGGCGUCUUAUAGCCUGGGGUGCAAUGCGGCCAGCCCGGACCGAGGAACGCGCUUCGGCACGGACGCUGGCGUAAUGGUCGCAAACGACCCGUCUUGAAACACGGACCAAGGAGUCUAACAUCUACGCGAGUGUUCGGGUGUCAAACCCGUACGCGCAGUGAAAGCGAACGGAGGUGGGAGCCCCCCCGGGGCGCACCAUCGACCGAUCCUGAUGUCUUCGGAUGGAUUUGAGUAAGAGCGUAGCUGUGGGGACCCGAAAGAUGGUGAACUAUGCCUGAAUAGGGCGAAGCCAGAGGAAACUCUGGUGGAGGCUCGCAGCGGUUCUGACGUGCAAAUCGAUCGUCAAAUUUGGGGUAUAGGGGCGAAAGACUAAUCGAACCAUCUGGUAGCUGGUUCCUGCCGA